rnacentral:rRNA from 1 species
UACACAUCGCCCGUCACACCAUGGGAGUUGGAUUUACCCGAAGCCGGUGCGCGAACCGCAAGGACGCAGCCGACCACGGUAAGGUCAGCGACUGGGGUG